AGCGGCGGAUGGGUGAGCAACACGUGGGGAACCUGCCCCUAAGUCUGGGAUACCAUUUGGAAACAGGUGCUAAUACCGGAUAAUAAAGCAGAUCGCAUGAUCAGCUUUUGAAAGGCGGCGUAAGCUGUCGCUAAGGGAUGGCCCCGCGGUGCAUUAGCUAGUUGGUAAGGUAACGGCUUACCAAGGCGACGAUGCAUAGCCGAGUUGAGAGACUGAUCGGCCACAUUGGGACUGAGACACGGCCCAAACUCCUACGGGAGGCAGCAGUAGGGAAUCUUCCACAAUGGACGCAAGUCUGAUGGAGCAACGCCGCGUGAGUGAAGAAGGUUUUCGGAUCGUAAAGCUCUGUUGUUGGUGAAGAAGGAUAGAGGUAGUAACUGGCCUUUAUUUGACGGUAAUCAACCAGAAAGUCACGGCUAACUACGUGCCAGCAGCCGCGGUAAUACGUAGGUGGCAAGCGUUGUCCGGAUUUAUUGGGCGUAAAGCGAGCGCAGGCGGAAAAAUAAGUCUAAUGUGAAAGCCCUCGGCUUAACCGAGGAACUGCAUCGGAAACUGUUUUUCUUGAGUGCAGAAGAGGAGAGUGGAACUCCAUGUGUAGCGGUGGAAUGCGUAGAUAUAUGGAAGAACACCAGUGGCGAAGGCGGCUCUCUGGUCUGCAACUGACGCUGAGGCUCGAAAGCAUGGGUAGCGAACAGGAUUAGAUACCCUGGUAGUCCAUGCCGUAAACGAUGAGUGCUAAGUGU
rnacentral:rRNA from 1 species